AUUGAACGCUGGCGGCAUGCCUUACACAUGCAAGUCGAACGGCAGCACGGGAGCAAUCCUGGUGGCGAGUGGCGAACGGGUGAGUAAUAUAUCGGAACGUGCCCAGUCGUGGGGAUAACGUAGCGAAAGCUACGCUAAUACCGCAUACGAUCUACGGAUGAAAGCGGGGGAUCGCAAGACCUCGCGCGAUUGGAGCGGCCGAUAUCAGAUUAGGUAGUUGGUGAGGUAAAGGCUCACCAAGCCGACGAUCUGUAGCUGGUCUGAGAGGACGACCAGCCACACUGGGACUGAGACACGGCCCAGACUCCUACGGGAGGCAGCAGUGGGGAAUUUUGGACAAUGGGCGCAAGCCUGAUCCAGCAAUGCCGCGUGCAGGAUGAAGGCCU
rnacentral:rRNA from 1 species